GACUGGCUCCGCCCUCGCCCCGCCCCGCCCCGGCUCGGGCGGCCGGAGGACCCGGAGUGGAGGCUCCCGAGCCCGUGGCGGCGGCGACGAUGUGGUUCUUUGCCCGGGACCCGGUCCGGGACUUCCCGUUCGAGCUGAGCCCUGAGCCCCCCGAAGGCGGGCCGCCCGGGCCCUGGAUCCUGCACCGAGGCCGCAAAAAGGCCACAGGCAGCGCAGUGUCCAUCUUCGUGUAUGAUGUGAAACCGGGAGCUGAAGAGCAGACCCAGGUGGCCAAAGCUGCCUUCAAACGCCUCAAAACUCUCCGACACCCCAACAUCCUGGCCUAUAUCGAUGGGUUGGAGACAGAAAAGUGCCUCCACAUCGUGACAGAGGCUGUGACCCCCCUGGGAACAUACCUCAAGGCACGAGCAGAAGCAGGUGGCCUGAAGGAGCAGGAGCUGUCAUGGGGGUUACACCAGAUCGUGAAAGCCCUCAGCUUCCUGGUCAACGACUGCAACCUCAUCCACAAUAAUGUCUGCAUGGCCGCUGUGUUUGUGGACAGGGCUGGCGAGUGGAAACUUGGGGGUCUGGACUACAUGUACUCGGCACAGGGCAACGGCGGGGGACCACCCAGCAAGGGGAUCCCGGAGCUCGAGCAGUAUGAUCCCCCGGAGCUGGCUGACAGCAGUAGCAGAGCAGUCAGAGAGAAGUGGUCAGCAGACAUGUGGCGCUUGGGCUGCCUCAUCUGGGAAGUUUUCAAUGGGUCUCUACCUCGGGCAGCUGCCCUGCGCAACCCUGGGAAGAUCCCCAAAUCCCUGGUGACCCAUUACUGUGAACUGGUGGGAGCUAACCCAAAAGUACGUCCCAACCCGGCCCGCUUCCUGCAGAACUGCCGGGCACCCGGUGGCUUCAUGAGCAACCGCUUUGUUGAGACCAACCUCUUCCUGGAGGAGAUUCAGAUCAAAGAGCCAGCUGAGAAGCAGAAGUUCUUCCAAGAGCUGAGCAAGAGUCUAGACUCAUUUCCCGAAGAUUUCUGUCGACACAAGGUGCUGCCCCAGCUACUGACUGCCUUUGAGUUUGGCAAUGCUGGGGCCGUGGUCCUCACACCUCUCUUCAAGGUGGGAAAAUCCCUCCGUGCUGAAGAGUACCAGGAGAAGAUCAUCCCCGUGGUAGUUAAGAUGUUCUCAUCCACCGACCGGGCCAUGCGCAUCCGCCUCCUCCAGCAGAUGGAGCAGUUCAUCCAAUACCUUGAUGAGCCAACAGUCAACACGCAGAUUUUCCCCCACGUCACACAUGGCUUCCUGGACACCAACCCCGCCAUCCGCGAGCAGACGGUCAAGUCCAUGCUGCUCUUGGCCCCAAAGCUGAAUGAGGCCAAUCUCAAUGUGGAACUGAUGAAGCACUUUGCAAGGCUACAAGCCAAGGACGACCAGGGUCCUAUCCGCUGCAACACCACGGUCUGCUUGGGCAAAAUCGGCUCCUAUCUCAGUGCUAGUACUAGACACAGGGUCCUCACCUCCGCCUUCAGCAGAGCCACUAAGGACCCAUUUGCACCAUCCCGGGUUGCGGGUGUCCUGGGCUUUGCUGCCACACACAAUCUCUAUUCGAUGGACGACUGUGCCCAUAAGAUCCUGCCUGUGCUCUGUGGCCUUACUGUGGACCCUGAGAAAUCUGUGCGGGACCAGGCCUUUAAGACCAUUCGAAGCUUCCUGUCCAAAUUAGAGUCUGUGUCAGAGGAUCCCACCCAGCUGGCAGAAGUAGAGAAGGAUGUCCAUGCAGCGUCCAGUCCUGGAACAGGAGGAGCUGCAGCCAGCUGGGCAGGCUGGGCUGUGACUGGGGUAUCCUCUCUCACCUCCAAGCUGAUCCGAGCACACCCCACGCCUGUGCCGUCUGAUACCACUGUGCCCCAGAGACCAGUGCCAGAGGGAAAUCCUGCUCCAGCCCCUGCCCUUGCCCAAGCUAUCCCUGCAACCUCAGGGCACUGGGAGACACAGGAAGACAAGGACACUGCAGAAGACAGCGCCACUGCUGACAGAUGGGACGAUGAGGACUGGGGCAGCUUGGAGCAGGAAGCUGAAUCCGUGUUGGCACAGCAGGAUGACUGGAGUGCCAAGGGCCAAGGAAGCCGAGCUGGACAGAUCAACCACCCAGACCACAAAUCUCUGGAAUCACAUUGGAGCAGCUGGGAAGUUGAGGGCUCCUGGGACCAGGGCUGGCAGGAACCCAGCUCUGUGGAGCCACCUCCAGAAGGCACUCGGCUAGCUAGCGAAUAUAACUGGGGUGGUGCAGAGCCCAGUGACAAGGGCGACCCCUUUGCUGCCCUGUCUGUUCGUCCCAGCGCUCAGGUACGGGCUCACUAGAGCACAGCUUAGAGCGGACUGUGCUGGGCGUUGCCUCUACUGCAGCCUACGCUUUCCCUUUCAGCCCAGGCCAGACCCAGACUCCUGGGGUGAAGACAACUGGGAAGGCUUGGAGGCUGAGAGCAGACAGGUAAAGGCAGAGCUGGCCCGGAAAAAGCGAGAGGAAAGGAGAAGAGAAAUGGAAGCCAAACGGGCAGAGAAAAAGACCACCAAGGGGCCCAUGAAGCUGGGAGCCCGGAAGCUGGACUGACAACCCCACCCCCAAGCCACUGGGCUUCCAACCACUGGAGAGCAGGCCCGGCGGAUGUAUUUAUUGUACAAACCAUGUGAGCCUGGUCAGCAGGUCAGGCACAUCUAGUGUACAUAAUCAGAGCCACAAUAAAUUCUAUUUCACA